GACGGAGGGUGCUAGCGUUGUUCGGAAUGACUGGGCGUAAAGGGCGCGUAGGCGGCCGGUUGCGUCGGAUGUGAAAGCCCGGGGCUCAACCCCGGAACGGCAUCCGAUACGGGCUGGCUUGAGACCGAGAGAGGUGAGUGGAAUACCCAGUGUAGAGGUGAAAUUCGUAGAUAUUGGGUGGAACACCGGUGGCGAAAGCGGCUCACUGGCUCGGUUCUGACGCUGAGGCGCGAAAGCGUGGGGAG
rnacentral:rRNA from 1 species